UUAUGAGUUGUGUGUGUUGUGUGUAGUAUGUUAUGCGUUGUGUGAGUGUUAUAUAUGUUGUGUGUGUAGUGUUUGUUGUUAUGAGUUGUUUGUGUAUGUUGUAUGUGUUUUGAGUGUUGUGCGUAGUGUGUGUUGUUAUGAGUUAUGAGUGUAAUAUGUGUGUGUAGUGUUGUUUCGUGUAUGUUAUGUGUGUGUGUGUGUUGUGUUAUGAGUUGUGUAUGUAUGUUGUUAAGAGUUGUGUGUGUGUUAUGUGUGUGUGUGUGUGUUGUAUAUGUUAUGUGUUGUGUGUGUAGGGUGUGUAUGUGUGUGUGUUAUGAGUUGUGUGUUUGUGUUUAUGUGUAGUAUGUAUUAUGUGUGUGUUGUGUAUAUUAUGUGUGUAUUGUUAUUUGUGUGUAUGUUGUUUGUGUGCUGUGUGUGUUAUGUGUGUGUAGUGUAUGUUGUUUGUGUGUGUUAUGAGUUGUGUGUGUAAUGUGUUGUAUGUGUAUUGUGUAUAUUAUACGUGUGUAUGUGUGUCUAGUGUGUGUUGUGUAUGUAUAGUGUGUGUUGAGUUGUGUGUGUAGUGUGUUGUUAUGAGUUGUGUGUUAUAUGUGCAUGUGUAUUGUGUGUGUGUUAUGUUGUGUGUGUAUGUGUAUUGUGUCUUAGUGUGUGUUGUUAUGUUUGUGCGUUUAGUGUGUG
rnacentral:lncRNA from 1 species